rnacentral:rRNA from 1 species
UACGAAGGGGGCUAGCGUUGCUCGGAAUCACUGGGCGUAAAGGGUGCGUAGGCGGCUGUGCAAGUCUGGCGUGAAAGCCCCGGGCUCAGCCCGGGAAGUGCGCUCGAAGCUGCACGGCUCGAGUGCCGGAGGGGUGAGUGGAGUUCCUGGUGUAGCGGUGAAAUUCGUAGAUAUUCGGAAGAACACCAGUGGCGAAGGCGGCUCACUGGACUGGUAUUGACGCUGAGGUGCGAAAGCGUGGGGAGCAAACAGG